rfam:Triticum aestivum genome assembly, contig: Triticum_aestivum_CS42_TGACv1_scaffold_516788_6BS
AUGCUACUCCCCCCGUCCGAAAAUACUUGUCAUCGAAAUGGAUAAAAGAAGAUGUAUAUAGAACUAAAAUACGUCUGGAAGCAUCCUUUUUAUCCAUUUUGAUGAUAAGUAUUUCCGGACGGAGGGAGUACUUA